ensembl:lncRNA
AGGGAGACAAGUGGGAAGGUGGUAGUGUCCUGUACCGACUCCUCACUUCUUGAGGUGUGUUACCUAAUAUUCAUUUCUGCUGUCAACAUUUCAUGAGUUUAAUAUGUUUAAUGUACAAAUCUUGAACUAAGAGUCUUGAGCACUGCAUUUCAGCAGGCAUAGUUCAAAGUGUACACUGUCAGUGCAGAUGUUCCCUGGUUUGGCAAUGGCUGCACUAGAUUGUCUCCUGCUGCUCUGCACAAGUAUUUCAGAGCUUGAUCUAGGAGCGUCCUUGGGAGGAAAUGUGGUGCAGUCUCAACUGUGAAAGGGGCACUGCCAGCCUCUGCAUGUUGGUUUGAGGCAGCAAAACUGUUCUGUGUGUCCUUUAAUUGUUAUUGCUCUCACUGAACUAUCCAGCUGUUUUUACUCCUCGGCCUGACUGAAGGCAGGAAUCCCUUCUGCGCAGGGGAGUAUACAGAAAGACAUGAAGAUGGUUUCUUAAAUGUUGAUACAAAAAAAAGAGAAAGAUCCAGUUUUGCAUCAAAUAUCUCAUCAUUCCCUGUAUAAAACCACUACAGAGGACUCAAACCCAAAGGUCUCCCAACGUGCUCUGAUCCCACAGGCAGACAAGGACUCACUCACCACUUAACAUGUUGAAUAAGUCUGCAUCUGCAACUUGGGGAGAAGUGGCAGCUCCUGGCUAGGUAUCAGACUGGUUUUCCACUGGAACUUGUAACUGUGCUUACCUGCAGCUGGAGGGAACUCACUGUGAGGGCUGAUUUCUGUAAACGGCAGCAGAAGUUGCUAUCAUACAGAAGCAUGAGAUCCAGGAGAAGCCAGGCCUCAGAGGAGGUUAAGAAUAGUACUCUGGCAUCCAAAUGUAAGGAGCAUGAAAUCACUGCCAUCAGAAAAGAACAACACAAGAAAGGCUUUAUUCUAUCAGCCUGCACUACAAAGGGAGAAAUAAAUCCUGAGACAGCAUCAAAUGCACCUUCAGAAAGUGAAGGUAAUACAGUGCUGCACAAAUGUGCUGUGUUGUAACGUUUGGCCAAAAAAAAGGAAAAAAGUGCUUUCUGUUAAGAAUACACCAUUGGCUGGAUAGGCCAAUGUGCUCCAGCUUAUAACUUGAUAUACUGCAGUUCUUUGCAAAGCACUAGUUUAGGACAUGAUGAAAUAGCUUUGCAGCUGAAGCAAGAGGUACAAACACUUGAGAAGAACAAAGCCGGUGAAACUGGGCAAUGUUUCAAGUCAUUUAGCAAAGCAUUUUUAGUCUCCUCUUUCAAGGUGAGUGAUAGAGUCAUAACACAUUGCACCAGUAGAGAAGAUUUGCAUCUAAAGCAUUUCAUUCUGCGAGUAUCAGUGAUUGCAAGUGCUGAACCUAGUGUUGGGAAGAAGCCUGUUACAGUUCUCCAGUCACCCAUCACAGUCAGCUUCUCACUUUCAUCCAACAUUUGUGAGGAACAAGGUUUGAUUUUCCAGCUUUCUAACCCAAAGUCUGAAGAAGUUCAUCAGAAUCUGCCUUAUGUGUGGACCCUGGUGAGACCUGAGCAAGUUCAAAAACAAAUGUAACAAACUGAGAUUUUUACCUCCAUAAACAAAGUUAGAGUAUAUGGCAAUGUUUUUAUGAGGUGGAACACUUAACCAAACCAACAGACUAUAUGGGGGAGUGUUACUGCUCUGAAAACUCCCAGAGUUCAGUUUAGCACUUCACUAUUAAUGAAAGGGAAACAUACUUUUAUUUCUGUUGGUGGUAAUGGAAGAAAAUAAUUAUCCCAACAGAAGCAUUUUCAGAGAUUAGUGGUGAGACAAUAAUUUUGAUUAAUCUGAAGAUAAACUUCCCAGUAGUUAUGAAAACCUGACUGUAUAUCUUUUGCAAUAGCAACCAUGGCGCAUUAAGGCUAUUUAGUAUUAUGAAAAUAUGCAGUGAUCUGUAGCCUGUUUACUUGUCAGGGCCUGAGUGAGGGCUGCCAUAAGAUAAUGUGGCCAGAAUCAGGCCAUGAGACUUCUUCAUGCUGUUUAUGCUUAAACCUUCUGUUUUUACAUAGCACGAGAUGGACUUACAACCCUGACGACUCAUCACAUAGAGUUAGCCACGUGUUAAAAAUGUAUGGUGGCCUCCAAGUUAGUCGGUCAUUCUUUAUACUGACUAUAUUGCUAAGAUAGUUUCAAAGGAAAGCAGGAGAUGUCUGAAAUAGCUAAGAUCUGCCCUGCCUGGAUCAAUUAUCUGAAGAAGAAGUGCUGGCAUUUUAUAAACGAGGCAAAGUUUAAGUGAAAAAAUAUUCUGAUAGCUAUAAGCAUUAAUUACCUACAGCAACAGUUACUAAAAGUUAACCUGUGUAAUUUAUCUACAGCACAGUAUCUGAAUUUCAGCUGUUAUAUGUAGUACUAUUUAAAUGAUAGUUCCUGUACACUGGCAAAAAAAAAUUAAAAACAUAUUCAGAUUGAGUGAAAUCAGCACUGUGUUGCAGGUGAAAAUUGGUGAGAAUAGGUUUAGCAGCUAGUGGCUGUGUAAGAACUGGCACUUAUCAGUAAGAAUGUACAUGCUACCAUGUAUAUAGCACAUUGUAAAAUAUAGUUAUUUUAUUAUAAUAUGCAUAUUAUUCCCGGAAUGCGUCUUGGUCACUGCUUUAAUCCUUGGGGAACUGAGUACCCUAAAGUCCAGGAUAAUUGCUUUUGGAGCAAAAGUUGGAGUUGGCUUUGCUUCACCAACCUCUGUCUGCCUCCAAUAGCUGUAUAAUGUGAUUGCAAAACAAAGCAAAAGAAAAGCAAUGUGACAAUUAAGCUUAAAUAAAAUACUUAAUUAAAAUACUUGUGGCUUAUCCUGGAAACAGUCUAUGUUCUGAUCAUUAAAAUGAGCGUUGUUGUCUUCCCACCCACAAGACAUGCCAUGUCCUAUACAUACCUCUUUUAGAGAACACACUAAAAUGUAAGUAUCUGUUACUUACUCUUCCAAACUGUGGGCUUUGAUAUAGGCCAGCGUGUAAUUGUUAAGAACUGAUAGAGCUCAUGCAGGUGCUGAGAAUGCAUUUCCUUACCUCUGGCACAACUAUUCUGGAGUCCACCAUAUCGCUGUUCCCAAAAG